rnacentral:lncRNA from 1 species
AAUUCAGGCACGACCCUGAUUGCAUCCGAACGCUGCUUUAUUUCUUCUCUGCCGCUCGCAUUCUGAGCACUAAUUACGCCUCUUUGGAUGCUAAUUGCUUCCCAGCCCUCUGCCGCUGUCUUUCCUGAGCAACAUUUAUUUUUCAUGCGUCCGUGUGUUUAAACUAAGAAAAGCCGGGAGGGAGGUGGGAGGAGGGAAUCGCUUCGGUCCAAGGAUUCUCCGGGAUCAAACGUGCCAGGAAAGGGGUCGGAGAAAUCCCUGGAAGGGGAGGGAGGAAAGACACCGCCGCUCGAAACAUCGCGUUCCUCGUGGGACAAUCAGCACCCGGGCGCUUCCCACGGGAUCCGCCAGCUUCCAGAACUCCUGAAAACUUGGAAUUGGGGCACGGCCGGGUCGCUGAGAGGAUUUUCCCUGCGAUUUCCUCGCUCCCCGAGCAGAUGCCUGAGGACUCACGGUAUAGGACUGGAGGGAGUUUUGGAGUCUGAGAGGAGCCACGCAGGUGAUGAAAUCCACGUGGGAAAUGUUUGAAAUCCUCGUUUCCAACCCAAAACAUCAUUAGCUAAAAUCCCGUGGAGAUGGAGGAGGGAAAAAAAAAAUAAAAAAAAAUAAAAUUCUCGGUCCUUAAAAAUG